AGAAAACUAACAAGGAUUCCCCUAGUAGCGGCGAGCGAAGCGGGAAGAGCUCAAAUUUAUAAUCUGGCACCUUCGGUGUCCGAGUUGUAAUCUCUAGAAAUGUUUUCCGCGUUGGACCGCACACAAGUCUGUUGGAAUACAGCGGCAUAGUGGUGAGACCCCCGUAUAUGGUGCGGACGCCCAGCGCUUUGUGAUACAUUUUCGAAGAGUCGAGUUGUUUGGGAAUGCAGCUCAAAUUGGGUGGUAAAUUCCAUCUAAAGCUAAAUAUUGGCGAGAGACCGAUAGCGAACAAGUACCGUGAGGGAAAGAUGAAAAGCACUUUGGAAAGAGAGUUAACAGUACGUGAAAUUGUUGGAAGGGAAACGCUUGAAGUCAGACUUGCUUGCCGAGCAAUCGGUUUGCAGGCCAGCAUCAGUUUUCCGGGAUGGAUAAUGGUAGAGAGAAGGUAGCAGUUUCGGCUGUGUUAUAGCUCUCUGCUGGAUACAUCUUGGGGGACUGAGGAACGCAGUGUGCCUUUGGCGGGGGUUUCGACCUCUUCACACUUAGGAUGCUGGUGGAAUGGCUUUAAACGACCC
rnacentral:rRNA from 1 species